CCUACGGGAGGCAGCAGUGGGGAAUAUUGGGCAAUGGGCGCAAGCCUGACCCAGCAACGCCGCGUGAAGGAAGAAGGCUUUCGGGUUGUAAACUUCUUUUCUCAGGGACGAAGCAAGUAACGGUACCUGAGGAAUAAGCCACGGCUAACUACGUGCCAGCAGCCGCGGUAAUACGUAGGUGGCAAGCGUUAUCCGGAUUUACUGGGUGUAAAGGGAGUGUAGGCGGGAAAGCAAGUCAGAUGUGAAAACCAUGGGCUCAACCUGUGGCCUGCAGUUGAAACUGUUUUUCUUGAGUACUGGAGAGGCAGACGGAAUUCGUAGUGUAGCGGUGAAAUGCGUAGAUAUUAGGAAGAACACCAGUGGCGAAGGCGGUCUGCUGGACAGCAACUGACGCUGAGGCGCGAAAGCGUGGGGAGCAAACAGGAUUAGAUACCCGUGUAGUC
rnacentral:rRNA from 1 species